CUAGUUGUAUUAUUAGUUAAUGCAAGAUCGACUACGUCGACUAAAGUUCUAGGUAGAAUAAUGAUGAUGACAAUUUUUUACCUAUAUGUCUUGACCAAGUCUCGUGCCAGCAGUCGCGGUAAUACGUGGAAGACUAGUGUUAUUCAUCUUUAUUAGGUUUAAAGGGUACCUAGACGGUAUUUCUAGCCCAAAAUAGGGUACGGAUUUACUAGAGUUUUAUGUGAGGAGGGGAGUACUCGUGGAGUAGAGAUGAAAUUUUGUUAUACUAUGAGGUAACUGGUGGCGGCGAAAGCAACCUUCUAUGUAUAAACUGACGUUGAGGGACGAAGGCUUGGGUAGCAAAUAGGAUUAGAUACCCUAGUAGUCCAAGCAGACAAUUCUGAAUGCCAUAGAUUAGAUUAUUUUUGGUCUAUAAAUGAAAGUGUAAGCAUUCCACCUUAGGAGUAAUGUGGCAACACAGGAACUGAAAUCAUUAGACCGUUUCUGAAACCAGUAGUGAAGUAUGUUAUUUAAAUUGAUGGUCCACAAAAAACCUUACCACAACUUGAAUAUUUUUUAAUUAAUACAAGCGUUGCACGGCUGUCUUCAGUUAAUGUCGUGAGAUUUUGGUUAACUCCAUUAAUUAACGUAAACCCUUACUUUA
rnacentral:rRNA from 1 species